UACAGAGGGCGCGAGCGUUGUCCGGAAUCACUGGGCGUAAAGGGCGCGUAGGUGGCGGCAUAAGGCCGUGGUGAAAGUCUGGGGCUCAACCCCAGAUCGGCCAUGGCGACUGUGUCGCUAGGGUACUGUAGAGGCAGGUGGAAUUCCUGGUGUAGCGGUGAAAUGCGCAGAUAUCAGGAGGAACACCAGCGGCGAAGGCGGCGCUCUGGGCCGGUACUGACGCUGAGGAGCGAAAGCGUGGGGAGCAAACAGG
rnacentral:rRNA from 1 species